AUCCAACUGAUGAGUCCUAAAUAGAACGAAAAUAGAGUCCUAGAU
rnacentral:hammerhead_ribozyme from 1 species